CCUCACUGACAAGUUUUAAAAAAAGAAAGUAAAAAAAUAAAGUUAUCUCCAAAUCCUUUUCUGCAGAUGAGGACACCUGAAACUCAGAGAGCUAUAAAGCAGCUAGCCCAAGACUCCAUAUUAGCAACUGGAUUAGAUUCCAGGUUUGUCCAAUUCCAAAGCCCAAUGCUCUUUCCACCAUACUACACUGUCUCCAGAAAGAGGAAGGGCAGGUGGUGAGGUCUGUCACCUGGUUAUCCCAGCACCUCAGGAUUCACAACGAUCUUCCCAGGCAAAUAUGAAUUACAUUAUUCUUAGGGAGGUCCGAGAAGAGAGUCUGCAACUUGGGCCAGGUGCAGAGUGAGGAGUGGAGUGAAGACUCAGACUCAAGGUAUUCCACCGUGCCUCAUAUGUGCUGUAUUUCCUUCUGGUGAAAUACACCACUAGCUGUAAACUUGCUGAAGUUAGGCAUUGUUUUAUUUUUUUCACCUUUGUAUCUUUCCCAGAGUUUAGCAUCAUCCCUGACACUAAGAAAAUGUUGAAUAAAGGACAGUGGGGUUGAAUUGAAUGUGCAUGAGCAAAGGCUGCUGAGUACCAGCCUUCCCCCUCUGUCUGCUGACAUUUUCACCCUGGGCAUCAGUCAUCACAAGGCUGUCUUCAUAAUUUGCCUCUUCCACCUUCCCCUCUGAAGGAAAUGCUUCUCAUGGGAAUCUGCUGAUCCAAUGAGCUGCAGUCAUUUGAUACCUGAAGAGAUUUGGAAACAUUCAUUUCCUAGUGGCUCCUAUGCUUAAUAGGGACUAACAGUUUCCCUUACUGUCUCCAUUUGCUCUUAUUUGGUUCUUGUAUUUGGAGGUGUAUCCAAGGAGUCUUAAGAAAGGUAUAUGUGGAAUUUUUUUGUUGACCCCAAUACAACACUCUGCUAGCUUCGACUCAGGUCAUGAUCCCA